CUGACAUUUCAAAAUUAAGAAAUGCCCUUAAAGGGACACUCAGGACUCCUAAAGGACUUUUGCUUUAUUUUCCAAUGCAUUUCAGCAAGCUAAAGAGGACAUACUCUUCAAAAGAAAUUGUCACUUUUUAAGAAUUAACCUUGUUACAACCCACUGACUCAUUUAGUCGACCAUUCUGUUACUUCCUAUUUGUAUAGUAUAGGGCUAUUCCAGCUAGGGAAGUAAAAAUAUAGCAUAGUGCAACACUGUGUGUAAUAAUACUAGAAAUAAAAUGAAGUGCCAAGUGAUC